UAUCUUAUUUUGAAGUAAAAAAACAAAACGGGAACAAAUAUAAUCACACCACCUCAUGUGGCCUGAGGGCCGUUGUUUGAGGACCCCUGGUUGACCUGUGUAUCUUUUUUACCAGUGAGAUGUGUGUUCCCAUGAAUAAAGUCCGAGUGUCAAGGUGUGGGCCCCAAAUUUGAACUCCACCCAUUUUCAGUGUAAUGGGAGUGUGAUUAGUGACUCAGAUUUGGGGAGAACUGUGAUCUUCUCAUGACUCAGCUUUUCCCAAGCAGACCUAGCUGACCCAACUGUGCCUCUGUUACCUGGAGCUCAGUUUUCUCUUUCAAGUGCACAUGGGAGGUCGGGAAGGUGGACACCUGCUGUGAUCUCCCACUGUGCCUCUACCGGUGGCAAAUUAUAACCUGUUUGCUGUUGUUGAAACGAUUUGAACACUAUUUGUAUGGAUUUCUCCGUAAACUCCAGUGAUUCUUCCCUGGUUUGUACCGAGUACUUGCUGCCAGAGAGUGCCCUCUAGUGAUCUGGAAGCCAGAAAUCCGAAAUCAAGGCGUCAGCAGGGCCAUACACAAUCUGAAAGCUCUGGGUUUUUCCUGCAAUCCACAGCUGCUCCUCUGCUGUGCAUCUGCGAGUCUUCUCAUAUAGACACUAGUCACUGGAUUCAGGGCCCUCCCUACUCCAGCAUAACUUUAUCUUAAUUGAUUGAGGGCUGUCUGGAAAGUAUCUAACUAUGUAAUAUGAAAAAUAGUUCUAACCCAGCCAGAGCAAGAGUCAGACCCCAGAAAAAAUAGACAGGCAUCCUGGCCUGUGCCUGUAGUCCUAGCUACUCUGGAGGCUGAGGCGGGAGGAUCUCUUGAGCCCAGGAGUUUGAAGUUGCUGUCAGCUAACCUGAGGCCAUGGCACUCUAGCCCAGGUGGCAAAGCAAGACUCUGUCUCUAUGUAAGUAAGUCAGUCAGUAAAUAAACAACUUGAAUUAUUCAUUAGGCAAUCUGGUAAAGAUUAGAUCAGCUCUGUUUUUUUUUUUAACUGGCAUUUGAAUAUCUGAAUGUAAAGAAUAUUGCAUGGAGCAUGGGAGAUGUAUCUUCUAUGUAUGUAACAUAUUCAAGUAUAUGUUGAAAAAGUUUAUGCAUCCAAAGCAAAAAUUCAAUUUUGGAAAAAUGAGUUUAAGAAUUGUUUCUAAGUAACUACUAGUCAGUAUUAUAAAUUGAAUUCUAAAAAAGUAUUAUAUGGUAGUAGAAUAAUAUCUAGACAUACUUGAGGAAUGGAUUGAGUAUUUUGAAAGAAAACUCUAUCUAAUUUGGUAGCCACAGACCACAUGUGGCUGACUACUGAGCACUUAAUGUAACCAGACCAAAUGACAUGUGCCUGUUUGUAAGAUCUCCUAAGCAUGAAAUUUCAAAGACUCUGGGGCCAAAAUUAACCUAAAGACUUUGUAUAAAAAAUUGUUCAUUAUCUCAAUAGUAUUUUCAUACUGAUUACAUUUCACAAGGGUAAUGUUUUAUGUUGGGUGAAAUGAAACACAGUAGGAACCUUUGUAAAUUGGCCGCCCAAAGGAUUGUAACAAGCUGGCCAGCAUACAGAGAUGGUCAACAGAGGCACUAGGCCUGCUGUGCUGAUGUGUACAUGUGGUGCAUGUCCAGUCUGAAAGUCAGGUCAAUUUAAAGAGGUGGUGAGUGUAGGGAGGUGGUCAACUAUGGAGCAUCUGCUGUAUGUUAAAACUAGUUUUACCUGUUUUUUACUUUAAUGGGCUAAUCACAAAAGUUAAAAUUAGCUAUGAUUACAUUUAUGCCUCAAUUUUUUGGGGAGGGGAGUAGUGUUGAUCUGAAAUGGAAAAAAUUUGAUUUAAUUUAAGAUUCAUUUGCAGGGUGGGUGCAGUGGCUCAUGCCUGUAAUCCUAGCACUUUGGGAGGCCAAGGCAGAGGAGCCCUUGAGGUGAGGAGUUUGAGACCUAUCUGAGCAAAAGUCAGUCCCCAUCUCUUAAAAAAAAAAAAAAUAGAAAAACGAGCGGAUCGUGGUAGCACAUACUUAUAGUCCCAGCUACUUGGGAGGUUGAAGCAGGAGGAUUGCUUAAGCCCAGGAGUUCAAGGUUACAGUGAACUAUGAUGCCACUGCACUCUAGUCUGAACAACACAGCAAGACUGCCCAUCUCAGAGAAAAAAAAAUUUUAAAUAAAAUUCAUUUGCAAUGUCACAAGAAAAUACUAAUUUGACAUAAAGAAAAUAGAUGAAAAGAAAAGCUACUAGAGUUAAAAAAUAGAUUAAUAUCUUUAACUCAUUCAUAGGAACAAAUGAUCUGAAGUCUAGAUAAUGGUAAUACAACAUAUUUGGAAAAUAGAGAUGAACAGUCUCCUGCAUAUUACCACCUACUUAUGCAAACAAAUUUUCUAAUCAAUGGUAACUUGACAAAAUAUUUGAAGAGAUUGUCUUUAAAGAGUCAACCUUUUUUUUUUUUUUAAUAAAAAACAAUGUCUGGCUGUCACCCAGGCUGGAGUGCAGUGACAAAAUCAUGGCUCACUGCAACCUUGAUCCCCUGGGACCAAGCCAUCCUCUUUCCGGCAUUAGCCUCCUGAGUACCUGUGACAAAAGGCAUAUGCCACCACCCCUGGCUAAAUUUUUCCUGAUUUCUAGGGGCUGGGGUCUUGCUAUAUUGCCCUGGCUAGUCUCAAACUCUGGGCCUCAAGCAAUUCUCCAGCCUUAUGCUUAUUAGUGGCUGGGAUUAUAGGCGUGAACCGUCACAUGUGGCUCUCAAAAUACAUCUUGAGCAGGAAUUGCAUCUCCGAUCAGCCCUCCUUAGUCAUGGACUCCAUAUUUGUGAA